ensembl:lncRNA
UGCAUUUUAGCAAGAUUAGUUAAGUUAACGUUAAUUAUCCUUAUUUUUAAUAAUAUUUAUAUGAUAAUAACACAAGUGUAACGUUGGAUGAGUCUUAGAUUAUAACAGAUCCAGUAAAUUAACGCAUUGGCAGAAGGCAAAGAUAACAUGGCAAAGUUAACAUUUUUUUUAAUGUCUGCAUAAAUAUUUGGUCUCCACCAUUUUAUUUUCAUGUCAAUAUUACAGAACCUUUGUUUUUGAUUCUAAGGUUUUUAAACCAGUAAAUAGAAUGAUUAUUUAUAUGUUUACUACAUUUGGUUGCACAGCCUUUGGCCAAAAUAUUCAUGUUCAAGAACAUCUUGUAGUAAGUUAACGUUAAUGUGCUUUCAGUAUUUCUCUAACGUUACUGUCUGUUAAUAGGAAACACCGGACCUACUGGACCCUUUCUGGUUGGUUGUAGGCUAUAGAGGCACCUGUCAGAACACAUGGAGAGGAAGUUUGCAGUGGUGCGGUGGAGUGAAGGGGAGGAUUUUGGGAAGGACCAGGAUGGGAAUCCCUUUGCCACCUACUCAGCCGUAAUUGAAUGGCGCCAUGGGAGGAAACAACGAGGAGGCUGGCCUCACUACAGAGGCACUGUCAUUUUUGUUAGUGCUACUCGUUUUGAGACAAUCCGUAAACUGAACUCACUGCUGAAGGAAGAAGAACCUACAGAGCUGACAAAGAGGGCCUCAGUGGCCCCCCAAAAAUAUGGGGACUAUUCAGAUUGCUCAACUGAUAUUGAAACUCAGUCUCAGCAAGCAAAGAAGUCAAAGGCUCCCAGGAGGAUAGACCCUGCAGAAGAGUUUCUUAGGCUAUACGGUCAAUCACAGCCUUCUUCAGAUAAUCACAACAGUCCGACUCAGACUGUGGUUGAAUUAAAGCAGGAGAUCAAGGACCUGAAAGAAGAGAACGCGAAGUUGAAGGAGAUUGUUCUUCAAGAUGUGCCAGGACUCCUACUGAGCUUGAGGAAUAUAAUAGAUUCGGCUGCACCUCCUAAGAGAUCCAGGGUGGAGCCUACCAAAGCAUUACCGGCCCUUCCAGGGUCUCCGCAGUCCAGGUCCAGUUCUCCAUGUGCCACUUCGCUGUCCCUCCCCAGAUCUACGCUGUCCAGUUCCACAUCUGUGUCUCCAUCCCUGACUGCCUCCCAUUCUUCUAAGGUUGAGAUCCAUCCUGGGACCGGAGUCAUGGUUGAGAAACUGGCGUGGGCCUAUGCCAUCAAUGCCAAUUCGGCAACAGUCUUUGUGAGACAUCUGCUCACCGCAGUCUUUCCAGUGGAAAUACUGCUGGUGAGCAAUCUUCGGGGGAACAAACGAGGCGGAGGAGAGGCUCGUCAACCAUUAGACAAAAAUAAAUUGGAUGCCAUUUACAGUGCAACUCUUGAGAAGUGGCCUGGGACCCAGCUUUCCAGCAGUGGAAGUACGAUCAAUGCCAAGAUUACAGAACUCCGGUCAAAAAGUAAAAAUGCUGGUGUGUACACAGCUCCACAUUAA